rnacentral:rRNA from 1 species
AUUGAACGCUGGCGGCAUGCUUUACACAUGCAAGUCGAACGGCAGCACGGGGGCAACCCUGGUGGCGAGUGGCGAACGGGUGAGUAAUACAUCGGAACGUGUCCUGGAGUGGGGGAUAGCCCGGCGAAAGCCGGAUUAAUACCGCAUACGCUCGGGAGAGGAAAGCGGGGGACCUUCGGGCCUCGCGCUCAAGGGGCGGCCGAUGGCGGAUUAGCUAGUUGGUGGGGUAAAGGCCUACCAAGGCGACGAUCCGUAGCUGGUCUGAGAGGACGACCAGCCACACUGGGACUGAGACACGGCCCAGACUCCUACGGGAGGCAGCAGUGGGGAAUUUUGGACAAUGGGGGCAACCCUGAUCCAGCAAUGCCGCGUGUGCGAAGAAGGCCUUCGGGUUGUAAAGCACUUUUGUCCGGAAAGAAAUCCUGCCUGAUAAUACCGGGCGGGGAUGACGGUACCGGAAGAAUAAGCACCGGCUAACUACGUGCCAGCAGCCGCGGUAAUACGUAGGGUGCGAGCGUUAAUCGGAAUUACUGGGCGUAAAGCGUGCGCAGGCGGUUCGCUAAGACCGAUGUGAAAUCCCCGGGCUUAACCUGGGAACUGCAUUGGUGACUGGCGGGCUAGAGUAUGGCAGAGGGGGGUAGAAUUCCACGUGUAGCAGUGAAAUGCGUAGAGAUGUGGAGGAAUACCGAUGGCGAAGGCAGCCCCCUGGGCCAAUACUGACGCUCAUGCACGAAAGCGUGGGGAGCAAACAGG